rnacentral:rRNA from 1 species
UACGUAGGGUGCAAGCGUUGUCCGGAAUUAUUGGGCGUAAAGAGCUCGUAGGCGGCUUGUCGCGUCGGCUGUGAAAACCUGGGGCUCAACCCCGGGCCUGCAGCCGAUACGGGCAGGCUAGAGUUCGGUAGGGGAGACUGGAAUUCCUGGUGUAGCGGUGAAAUGCGCAGAUAUCGGGAGGAACACCGGUGGCGAAGGCGGUUCUCUGGGCCUGACCUGACGCUGAGGAGCGAAAGCGUGGGGAGCGAACAGG